rnacentral:ncRNA from 1 species
GGCCGAUUCCAAAAUGCCUGACAACCAGGCAGGGCACGAGAAAGGGUUGACCGUAGCUCUAGCCGGUCACGCAGGGGCCAACCUCGUCUACGAAUCU